rnacentral:rRNA from 1 species
UGAGGGAAUAUUGGGUCAAUGGGGCGGGAGCCUGAACCAGCCAAGUCGCGUGAGGGAGGAAGGUCCUACGGAUUGUAAACCUCUUUAGCCGGGGAGCAACGUGCGCCACGCGUGGCGCAGUGAGAGUACCCGGAGAAUAAGCAUCGGCUAACUCCGUGCCAGCAGCCGCGGUAAUACGGAGGAUGCGAGCGUUAUCCGGAUUUAUUGGGUUUAAAGGGUGCGCAGGCGGCGCGAAAAGUCAGCGGUCAAAGUUCCGGGCUCAACCCGGUGACGCCGUUGAUACUGCUGGGCUUGAAUGCGGAUGCCGUGGGAGGAAUGUGUGGUGUAGCGGUGAAAUGCAUAGAUAUCACACAGAACACCGAUUGCGAAGGCAUCUCACGAA